rnacentral:sRNA from 1 species
UGCGUUGGAUGGGAGUCAAACCCACACUUCAUAUUGACUGCUUCCAUGAAUAUCGCAACUAGAAAGAAUAUUUAUGUACUAAGUACAUGAAGAACUUAAGAAGAAAAUAUUAUAAUUAUAUAUAUAUGCUGUACAGUUGGACUAGUUUUAGGGUAAAGGUUUUUUGUUCCAAGAGUGUUGCUUUUUUUAUGGGCGUUUUCAUUAAAGUAGUGACAUUGGAUUAUUAGUUCCAGUUUAUUAUUUUUUGCAUCUAUUGCUGUUUCUUCUAUGGUGUUCUGUAAACAAAUGGAUAAAAAUGAGAAAAAAACUUAUUUGAAUUCAAUUUGAACAAUAAAUUUCUUGUAAUAUGCACUUGGAUGGAUAUUUUCAAUGUCAGUUGGAUGCACCAAGCGACCAUAUCAAGGAGAAUAUGAACCAAGGCUCAAUAAGUUCUACUAGUCUAGCCUGAUUUUCUUCACUAACGAUAUCAUGCUGGGGAAAGAAAUAGUUCUUGAGGUCAUCACACUGAUUCAGUACUUUCUAGAAACAAUGUCUACAAUCAAAGUGACUGGAAAAUUAAAAGUGUCAUUAGUAAUUAAAAUUGUCAUAAGUAAGCAAUGAAUGACCAUAAUUUAAAA